rnacentral:rRNA from 1 species
CUAAGGCCGGAGGGCCCAACCUCCCACCCGUGUUUACUGUACCUUAGUUGCUUCGGCGGGCCCGCCAUUCAUGGCCGCCGGGGGCUCUCAGCCCCGGGCCCGCGCCCGCCGGAGACACCACGAACUCUGUCUGAUCUAGUGAAGUCUGAGUUGAUUGUAUCGCAAUCAGUUAAAACUUUCAACAAUGGAUCUCUUGGUUCCGGCAUCGAUGAAGAACGCAGCGAAAUGCGAUAACUAGUGUGAAUUGCAGAAUUCCGUGAAUCAUCGAGUCUUUGAACGCACAUUGCGCCCCCUGGUAUUCCGGGGGGCAUGCCUGUCCGAGCGUCAUUGCUGCCCAUCAAGCACGGCUUGUGUGUUGGGUCGUCGUCCCCUCUCCGGGGGGGACGGGCCCCAAAGGCAGCGGCGGCACCGCGUCCGAUCCUCGAGCGUAUGGGGCUUUGUCACCCGCUCUGUAGGCCCGGCCGGCGCUUGCCGAACGCAAAUCAAUCUUUUCCAGGUUGACCUCGGAUCAGGUAGGGAUACCCGCUGAACUUAAGCAUAUCAAAGUCGGGGAGGAAAAG